rnacentral:rRNA from 1 species
GUAGUCUGCAACCCGACUACAUGAAGCUGGAAUCGCUAGUAAUCGCGGAUCAGAAUGCCGCGGUGAAUACGUUCCCGGGUCUUGUACACACCGCCCGUCACACCAUGGGAGGUCGGAAAUGCCCGAAGUCUGUGACCCAACCUGAGGAGGGAGGGAGCAGCCGAAGGCAGGUCUGAUGACUGGGGUGAAGUCGUAACAAGGUACC